rnacentral:miRNA from 2 species
GCUGUAGGGAUCUGGCACUGUGGUUCCUGCAUGAAGACAGUGGCUGGUGGUGCCUGGACCUACAACACCACUUCUGCAGUCACAGUCAAGUCAGCC